CAACUUACCUAUCAGAGGGGGAUAGCCCGGCGAAAGUCGGAUUAAUACCCCAUAAAACAGGGGUCCCGCAUGGGAAUAUUUGUUAAAGAUUCAUCGCUGAUAGAUAGGCAUGCGUUCCAUUAGGCAGUUGGCGGGGUAACGGCCCACCAAACCGACGAUGGAUAGGGGUUCUGAGAGGAAGGUCCCCCACAUUGGUACUGAGACACGGACCAAACUCCUACGGGAGGCAGCAGUGAGGAAUAUUGGUCAAUGGCCGAGAGGCUGAACCAGCCAAGUCGCGUGAAGGAAGAAGGAUCUAUGGUUUGUAAACUUCUUUUAUAGGGGAAUAAAGUGGAGGACGUGUCCUUUUUUGUAUGUACCCUAUGAAUAAGCAUCGGCUAACUCCGUGCCAGCAGCCGCGGUAAUACGGAGGAUGCGAGCGUUAUCCGGAUUUAUUGGGUUUAAAGGGUGCGUAGGUGGUGAUUUAAGUCAGCGGUGAAAGUUUGUGGCUCAACCAUAAAAUUGCCGUUGAAACUGGGUUACUUGAGUGUGUUUGAGGUAGGCGGAAUGCGUGGUGUAGCGGUGAAAUGCAUAGAUAUCNCGAAGAACUNNNAUUG
rnacentral:rRNA from 1 species